rnacentral:rRNA from 1 species
AGUAGUUUGAUCCUGGCUCAGGACGAACGCUGGCGGCGUGCUUAACGCAUGCAAGUCGACGGAAAGGCCAGUGCUUGCACUGGUACUCGAGUGGCGAACGGGUGAGUAACACGUGGGUGAUCUGCCUUGCACUCUGGGAUAAGCUUGGGAAACUGGGUCUAAUACCGGAUAGGAACCGUCUUUAGUGUGGUGGUUGGAAAGUUUUUUCGGUGCAAGAUGAGCUCGCGGCCUAUCAGCUUGUUGUGGGGUAAUGGCCUACCAAGGCGUCGACGGGUAGCCGGCCUGAGAGGGUGUACGGCCACAUUGGGACUGAGAUACGGCCCAGACUCCUACGGGAGGCAGCAGUGGGGAAUAUUGCACAAUGGGCGGAAGCCUGAUGCAGCGACGCCGCGUGGGGGAUGACGGCCUUCGGGUUGUAAACUCCUUUCGACAGGGACGAAGCGCAAGUGACGGUACCUGUAUAAGAAGCACCGGCUAACUACGUG